UGUCAUUCGUCUGUUUGUGAUAUUUUAGGUUAAAUUAUUAAAUUCCCGUUUCCCCAUUACUUAAUAAAAAUAAGAAUGUGCAACCACGUAAAUUAGAUCCUCUCAUUUCUUGUAUUGUUCCCGUCUGCAAAUAUACGGUAUUGCAAAAUCCCAACAAGCACUUUUUUAUGUACCGAAAUCGGUGAGAGUGCAGUGGUGUUCCGCAGUAAAUAAAUCAAAUGUACCGAAGUCUGGUAGUAUAUAUAUAUUUGCGAAGAUCAUUUAAAUCUAGAGGAAGAUUUACUGAAUUAUAAGGACUGGUUAGAGAAUAACAAAGCCAAGGCUUAAACCUGAAAUGCCUGUAAUGUUAAAGAAUAUUGGACUGGAUCUUAGCAGUGUCAUGCCUUCUGGAUUAAACUGGGAAGAACCUGUGCCAGCUACACAGGAUAAAGGUAUUCAGUGUGUGCCUCACUACAGUAAUAAAACUGUGCAUGUUAUGCCAACCAUGGUCAGAAGGUCAGUUGGAACAAGGCUUGCAAAAAAUGCCACACACGAACCUAUCCUUACUGAAGAGGAAUCAUCGGACGGACACAAUCCAUCUGCACUUGGUAGCACAACUGAAUUUUCAGGGCAGGAGAGUACUAGUGAACUUGAAGUGCAAAAAAACUUUGAAAAAUAGUGAUUGGCACAUUGUUAAUACCCGGAAUAAAAAUAAACUUAAAAAAAUACUAAAUCUUUUAAAUGGCAAUGACACGUUUUUAUAAUAAAAUUCCCAUCGACAUUCAAAUUUAUAUUUGAACAGUUAUAAGACAGGAAUUAAACAGAAACUUUGUAAAAAAAAGUUAUUAUUGUAAGAUUCUUUUCCCCGGCUAUACAAGUUGAGAAGCUGCAGUAGUUUUAAGCGGUUGGAUCAUACGUUCAUUAUGUAAAAAAUGAUGAUACAAAGUGUAGCUAUGUUACGUACUUACUGAAUAAAGAUAUUUUUGAACUA